rnacentral:rRNA from 1 species
UACGAGAGGCCCAAACGUUAUUCGGAAUUACUGGGCUUAAAGAGUUCGUAGGCGGCGCAGAAAGUAGGGUGUGAAAGCCCUCGGCUCAACCGAGGAAUUGCGCUCUAAACUACUGUGCUUGAGGGACCUAGAGGUGAGUGGAAUUCCGAGUGUAGAGGUGAAAUUCGUAGAUAUUCGGAGGAACACCAGAAGCGAAGGCGGCUCACUGGCCCGAUACUGACGCUGAGGCGCGAAAGCGUGGGGAGCAAACAGG